UAAACCAUAGAAAUAUGAAUUACAGACGGCCUUACAAAUUUUAGAGUGAAAGAGUAUCAAAGCUAAGAAAGUUAAGCAUCGUCCAUUCAUUCACAACUUAGGACCAACAAACAACUCAAUAGUCUAUACAUGGAUUAAUUUUCCUACUUUCCAACAUGAGUAAAAGAAAUGGAUCAACUCCCCUCUCUUAAGUUCAGGAAGCUUUGUUAUCUCUCGUUACUCUGCUACUCUC
rnacentral:lncRNA from 1 species